AAUGAUGUAACGAGAAUAUCAGAAGAUAAGCAAAAUGAUUCGGAGAAAGGACUGACGAUGAAAGAGAAGAUGUAACGCUUGAAGGAUUCAAAUACUUGGAAGAUCGAACAUCGUCACUCGCAGGUGCAAAUUACUGCUCGAAUUGAUUUUCGAAAUGGGCUGGCUUUUUAAUGCGCCUCCUCUCUGGCGAGGAGAAAUCGCGUGCCGGUAAUUAAACCGAAGGCGAAGGGUUAAAGGCACUCUCUCAGGCACAACAACGUAACCGAUCAAUUUCUACACCACUAGGGGCGUAUCGCAAUAAACGCACACAGAGAAGGGUCGUAAACGCUGCUGCUGAUGCAACAGAUCCUACGCGACCAGUUCAUAACGAGAUCAAAGAGAACGAAAGAAGAGACGGACUGAAGUUAUCUUGUUUGAUCGCGCGAGUCGCAAUCUUCGUCGCAUUGCGGACGUAUCUCGCCGUUUGAAACGUCGCCACGCGAUGUUAUACAUAUACAGGACUCAUGCAAGAGGAAUGGCACGUCCAUCUCGUCAGGAUUCAAAUGAGAUAUUGGCGCACGUGCGAGCGAGCACGCGCAUACACGUGUGUACACGCCUUUGCGAGGAAUUCUCUCGCGAUAUGGUGUUUGUAUUCUUUCUAUCUAGCUUGUCCCAUCCCAUCUAGCUGACUUCGAGCACUUGAUAUUUUUAUAAGAGACGUAAUAUUCUUAGGAAUAUAUUUUCUAUUAAUUAGAAAUUCUAUCUAAUACAAACUUUGAUAAACUUUAGAGCAAAAGUAAGGUAGCUUCGAAGAAUGUAACUUGUAAUAAUUAUGCUUGGUACCCAAUAAAAAUCUCUAUGAUGC